rnacentral:rRNA from 1 species
UAAGACGUAGGUGGCGAACGUUAUCCGGAAUUAUUGGGCGUAAAGGGUGCGUAGAUGGCUUAGUAAGUUGGCGGUGGGAAAUCGAGGCUCAACCUCGUGGAAGCCGACAAUACUAUUAAGCUCGAGUACAGGAGAGGUUAAUGGAACUCCAUGUGGAGCGGUAAAAUGCACAGAUAUAUGGAAGAACACCAAUAAAGGCGAAGGCAAUUAACUAUUCUGUUACUGACAUUGAGGCACGAAAGCGUGGGGAGCAAAACGGAUUAGAUACCCGUGUAGUCCACGCCCUAAACGAUGAGUGCUGGAUAUUGGAGACUUGAUCUUCAGUGUCGCUAGGUAACCCGGUAAGCACUCCGCCUGGGCAGUACGCUCGCAAGAGUG